rnacentral:rRNA from 1 species
GACGAACGCUGGCGGCGUGCCUAAUACAUGCAAGUAGAACGCUGAAGAGAGGAGCUUGCUCUUCUUGGAUGAGUUGCGAACGGGUGAGUAACGCGUAGGUAACCUGCCUUGUAGCGGGGGAUAACUAUUGGAAACGAUAGCUAAUACCGCAUAACAAUGGAUGACACAUGUCAUUUAUUUGAAAGGGGCAAUUGCUCCACUACAAGAUGGACCUGCGUUGUAUUAGCUAGUAGGCGAGGUAAUGGCUCACCUAGGCGACGAUACAUAGCCGACCUGAGAGGGUGAUCGGCCACACUGGGACUGAGACACGGCCCAGACUCCUACGGGAGGCAGCAGUAGGGAAUCUUCGGCAAUGGGGGCAACCCUGACCGAGCAACGCCGCGUGAGUGAAGAAGGGUUUCGGAUCGUAAAGCUCUGUUGUAAGUCAAGAACGGGUGUGAGAGUGGAAAGUUCACACUGUGACGGUAGCUUACCAGAAAGGGACGGCUAACUACGUG